AAGCGGAGGAAAAGAAACCAACAGGGAUUGCCCUAGUAACGGCGAGUGAAGCGGCAACAGCUCAAAUUUGAAAUCUGGCCUCUUUGGGGUCCGAGUUGUAAUUUGCAGAGGGCGCUUUGGAGUCGGCAGCGGUCCAAGUUUCUUGGAACAGGACGUCACAGAGGGUGAGAAUCCCGUACGUGGUCGCUAGCCUUCUCCGUGUAAAGCCCCUUCGACGAGUCGAGUUGUUUGGGAAUGCAGCUCUAAAUGGGAGGUAAAUUUCUUCUAAAGCUAAAUACUGGCCAGAGACCGAUAGCGCACAAGUAGAGUGAUCGAAAGAUGAAAAGCACUUUGGAAAGAGAGUCAAAAAGCACGUGAAAUUGUUGAAAGGGAAGCGCUUGCAGCCAGACUUGCCUGUAGUUGCUCAUCCGGGCUUUUGCCCGGUGCACUCUUCUAUAGGCAGGCCAGCAUCAGUUUGGGCGGUUGGAUAAAGGUCUCUGUCAUGUACCUCUCUUCGGGGAGAACUUAUAGGGGAGACGACAUGCAACCAGCUCAGACUGAGGUCCGCGCAUUUGCUAGGAUGCUGGCGUAAUGGCUGUAAGCGGCCCGUCU
rnacentral:rRNA from 1 species